rnacentral:rRNA from 1 species
AGAGCGAACGCUGGCGGCAGGCCUAACACAUGCAAGUCGAGCGCCCGUAGCAAUACGGGAGCGGCAGACGGGAUAGUAACACGUAGGAACGCGCCCUUCGGUUCGGAAUAACUCAGGGAAACUUGAGCUAAUACCGGAUACGCCCUUACGGGGAAAGAUUUAUUGCCGAAGGAACGGCCCGCGUCCGAUUAGCUAGUUGGUGAGGUAAUGGCUCACCAAGGCGACGAUCGGUAGCU